GCGCAGCAGGCGAGAAACCUUCGCAAUGCAGGAAACUGCGACGAGGGAACUCCAAGUGCCUACGCUCAGCGUAGGCUGUUCUCAAGCCUAGAAAGCUUGAGGAGUAAGGGCUGGGUAAGACGGGUGCCAUCUGUGGUAGCAGUUAAUAGAUUCGAUUUGUUACUGCAAGGCAUAAGCCGCCGCGGUAAUACCCGCAGCCCAAGUGGUGGCCGCUUUUAUUGGGCCUAAAGCGUCCGUAGCCGGCCCGGUAAAUGCCUGGGUAAAUCGUGGAGCCCGAACUUCACGAAUUCCGGGUAGACUGCCGAGCUCGGGACCGGAAGAGGGAGAGGGUACUUCGAGGGGUAGGGGUGAAAAUUUCCUUUCCAUUAACGCUUUGCGCGAAGCGGAAAGGGUUAUCACAAUCCUGUAAUCCCUGGA
rnacentral:rRNA from 1 species